GAUGAACGCUGGCGGCGUGCUUAAUACAUGCAAGUCGAGCGAACGGACGAGGAGCUUGCUUCUCUGGUGUUAGCGGCGGACGGGUGAGUAACACGUGGAUAACCUACCUAUAAGACUGGGAUAACUUCGGGAAACCGGAGCUAAUACCGGAUAAUAUUUUGAACCGCAUGGUUGAAAAGUGAAAGACGUUCUUGCUGUCACCUAUAGAUGGAUCCGCGCUGCAGUGGCUAGUUGGUAAGGUAACGGCUUACGAAGGCAACGAUGCAUAGCCGAACUGAGAGGGUGAACGGCCACUCUGGAACUGGGCCACGGUCCUGACUCCUACGGGAGGCAGCAGUAGGUAAGCGACGGAGAAGGGCGGAAGCCUGACGGAGCAGCGCCGCGUGGGUGAUGAAGGUCUUCGGAUCGUAUAACUCUGUUAUUAGGGAAGACCAUAUGUGUAAGUAACUAUGCACUUCUUGACGGUACCUAAUCAGAAAGCCACGGCUAACUACGUG
rnacentral:rRNA from 1 species